GAUGAACGCUGGCGGCGUGCCUAAUACAUGCAAGUCGAGCGAACAGACGAGGCGCUUGCUCCUCUGACGUUAGCGGCGGACGGGUGAGUAACACGUGGAUAACCUACCUAUAAGACUGGGAUAACUUCGGGAAACCGGAGCUAAUACCGGAUAAUAUAUUGAACCGCAUGGUUCAAUAGUGAAAGACGGUUUUGCUGUCACUUAUAGAUGGAUCCGCGCUGCAUUAGCUAGUUGGUAAGGUAACGGCUUACCAAGGAAACGAUGCGUAGCCGACCUGAGAGGGUGAUCGGCCACACUGGAACUGAGACACGGUCCAGACUCCUACGGGAGGCAGCAGUAGGGAAUCUUCCGCAGUGGGCGCAAGCCUGACGGAGCAACGCGGCGUGAGUGAUGAAGGUCUUCGGAUCGUAAAACUCUGUUAUUAGGGAAGAACAAGUGUGUAAGUACAUAUGCACGUCUUGACGGUACCUAAUCAAAAAGCCACGGCUAACUACGUG
rnacentral:rRNA from 1 species